rnacentral:rRNA from 1 species
GUUAGGAAUAUUGGACAAUGGGCGAAAGCCUGAUCCAGCCAUGCCGCGUGAACGAUGAAGGCCUUCGGGUUGUAAAGCUCUUUAGUCCACGAAUAUAAUGACUGUAGUGGAAGAAUAAGCCCCGGCUAACUUCGUGCCAGCAGCCGCGGUAAUACGAAGGGGGCGAGCGUUAUUCGGAAUCACUGGGCGUAAUGCGUGCGUAGGCUGUUUUGUAAGUCAGAAGUGAAAGCCCAGGGCUUAACCCUGGAAUUGCUUUUGAAACUACAAGACUCGAAUUCGGGAGAGGAUAGCGGAAUUGUCAGUGUAGCAGUGAAAUGCGUAGAUAUUGACAGGAACACCAGUGGCGCAAGCGGCUAUCUGGACCGAUAUUGACGCUGAGGCACGAAAGCGUGGGGAGCAAACAGGAUUAGAAACCCGUGUAGUCC